AUUGAACGCUGGCGGAAUGCUUUACACAUGCAAGUCGAACGGCAGCACGGACUUCGGUCUGGUGGCGAGUGGCGAACGGGUGAGUAAUGUAUCGGAACGUGCCCAGUCGUGGGGGAUAACGUAGUGAAAAUUACGCUAAUACCGCAUACGAUCUAUGGAUGAAAGCGGGGGAUCGCAAGACCUCGCGCGAUUGGAGCGGCCGAUAUCAGAUUAGGUAGUUGGUGGGGUAAAGGCCCACCAAGCCAACGAUCUGUAGCUGGUCUGAGAGGACGACCAGUAACACUGGAACUGAGACACGGGCCAGACUCCUACGGGAGGCAGCAGUGGGGAAUUUUGGACAAUGGGCGAAAGCCUGAUCCAGCCAUUCCGCGUGCAGGAUGAAGGCCCUCGGGUUGUAAACUGCUUUUGUACAGAACGAAAAGGUUUCUACUAAUACUAGGAGCUCAUGACGGUACUGUAAGAAUAAGCACCGGCUAACUACGUGCCAGCCGCCGCAGUAA
rnacentral:rRNA from 1 species